UACAGAGGGUGCGAGCGUUGUCCGGAAUCACUGGGCGUAAAGGGCGCGUAGGCGGCUCGUUAAGCGUGGGGUGAAAGCCCGGGGCUCAACCCCGGGUCUGCCUUGCGGACUGGCGAUCUUGAGCACAGUAGAGGCGGGUGGAAUUCCGGGUGUAGCGGUGGAAUGCGUAGAUAUUCGGAAGAACACCAGUGGCGAAGGCGGCCCGCUGGGCUGUUGCUGACGCUGAGGCGCGACAGAGUGGGGAGCAAACAGG
rnacentral:rRNA from 1 species